rnacentral:rRNA from 1 species
GUCUCGCCACUAUCUUUAACGUCGAGGGAACGGGCCGACGGGGGUGGUGUGGUCUCGCGCCUCCGGUGCGUUUCAUUUGAACUGGUGAAGGAGAGGAUUGGGAAGAGAGCGAGAGGGGUCGCGGCGGGGUAAAGGCCCUUCGAGCGGGCGGACGGUACCUUCUGCGGCUUCUUUUAAGGUACAAGCUCUGGUCGGUACAGGAGCCGCGCGACGACCGGAGCAGCGGCGACGACCGCGCGCGGACCCUGGCCACGCGCCGGCGGCGGCGCUACCCGCGGCGGAGGAGGCCCAAGCGCGUGCCGCUGCCGCCGCCCCUGCCCCCCUGCCACAUGCACCGGAAGAGGCCGGACGUCCGGCGCGACAGCCAACGCGCGGGCCGCCACCGCUCGCCGCGGCUGCAGAAGCGCGGCCAGCCGGAGCGGCCGCUGCGAUGGCCGCGCGCCCGGAAGGGCGUCGACCGCCGGCGGCUCGGCCUGCGCCGGCGGCGGCCCCUCGCACAGCGGCACGUCCGCGACCGAGACGCCACGAAGAACUUUAACACGCCGAGGGGACUCAAGGUCUAGGUCCCGUUCCGUCACCACAAGUGGCCGGUGAGUGAACCACCUCGGUAGCGGCGAGAACACCGCGACGUGAUGGAGACGUAGAGUAGCAAUUCGAGCGGUACGUCAGGUAGAGGAGGACACGACACACAGUGUAAGCCCUCGGGUGACUAGCCGUUGCCCCGGGACAGGUCCCGGUAGGACGCGCUCGCCACCCCGCCGUUGAAGACAUUACAGCAGAGUGUCGUGCUGCAGCAGGGCUCCGAGGAGAAGACGGGGGAUCUGCGAUAGGGACACGCGCAGUAGUAGCCAUACGUCGACGUCGUUACCGGUCCUGUGUGAGUGUUGUGCCCGCAUUACUGGUGAGCACAACACCUGCGGCUCGUCCUACCCGACGCAGUUGACUAUGUCCGCGUACAGGCGUGCCAACGGUACCUCGUCUUCGAGCACCUGGGUCUCAGCGCUCCGCCCUCGGGAAUAGCAGGCAAGCCCCGGAUGCACGACACGAGCGGCCUUCCACGUCACACGCAACUGUUGAGUUGUCGCCGUCAGGUCUACGAGAUACGGUGUAAACGGCGAACGAUGCGCGCCCCGUUGUGCUGUAGGGACCUCCGGCGUGUGAGAACGAUGCCGCUAGAACACGACUUUUACGGUGUCUUGAACGAGGAGUUCGCCGCGGGCGUACGGUACCUGCACAACCGCAGGUACAGGUUGAGGUUGAUGCUGCGACCGUAGAGGGACCGAUACCUCCGGAGGCCGUAACCGUCGCUCCGUUACCUCCGGUGCUGUUGCGCUAUGACCGACUUCCGCAGAUUCGCUCGCCCAGCGUCGGGUUCGAACUUGACGCGCCCUGAGAGUUGUGCCGACCCCGCCUAGUGAGGUACGGCCCGUGUCCAGCUCACCAUGUUCCGUAGUAAGCUGCCGCUGUACCCCAUGAUACUGCGUAAGUUCGUUGCCUCCAGUGGAUUCUUCAAGUUGUACCGGCUGUACACAGCGUAGUUCGACCCGGUCAAAACCCUACCACACGAGCGUUACGAGCUGUUGUCGGUCGACGGCGUGCUGAAGGUAGCGGCCCGGUUCACCCACUUACGGCGGGCCAAGAUGGUCGAGGAGCAGCUCGGUGACCUGUAGCGUCUGAUAGUGGCGUUCUUGAAGGUGUUCUGGUCUCCGCCGAUGUAGUGGGUACCGGCCCUGUCGUCCAUACUCGACAAGCUGUUCACCACCUUCCUCUUCCCUCGGAAGUGACCAUGCUCGUGGCCGCUGUGCCGACGGUGUCGCUCCUCGUUCAUGCGGCCCGACUGAGUCCUAGGUACGAAGACCCGCUCCCACCUUCUCCGUACCCUAGUCUGACUUUCGCGGGUCCGACUCGUUCUGCACCGCUACAACCGCUACUUCGAGCCCUCCGACGCCCUCAAGCUCGCCAUGCGGUCCCUCGACCACCUCUCGUUCCUCCACAGCUAGCUGCAGGAACGCGGCGUCAGGUCGAUGUGGGCGACCCACCUCCUCACCUUCUUCGAGAACGAGUCUCUGCUUCGGUCUUGUCGCAGGAACAAAAUCAAGACUACUACUUAAUCGACCUCGUCGAGUUCUUAAGAUAAAAAAAAAAACGGUGAUCAAAAUCCAUUGAAUCAUAUCGGGAGCAUAUCCGCCAACAUUUAUGCGCAUCCGAACGUCUGGCGUCACCGUGACGUAAUACAACAACAUAGUCAAGAACGUAGAACUACGACUAAAUAAGUCAACAAAGAAGAAGUUCCGGUAGCAACUAGACGUAAUAACUCGUAG